GCCUGGGUGGCUCAGUCGGUUGAGCGUCCGACUUCAGCUCAGGUCACGAUCUCACGGUUCGUGAGUUCGAACCCCGUGUCAGGCU
rnacentral:tRNA from 1 species